CGAAGGAUGCAAGCGUUAUCCGGAUUCAUUGGGUUUAAAGGGAGCGUAGGUGGCCCGGUAAGUCAGUGGUGAAAUCUUCUCGCUUAACGAGAAAACUGCCAUUGAUACUGCUGGGCUUGAGUACAGAUGCUGUGGGCGGAAUAUGACAUGUAGUGGUGAAAUACAUAGAGAUGUCAUAGAACACCGAUUGCGAAGGCAGCUCACAAAACUGUAACUGACACUGAGGCUCGAAAGUGCGGGGAUCAAACAGGAUUAGAUACCCUGGUAGUCCGCACUGUAAACGAUGAUUACUCGCUGUUGGGCAGCAAUGCCCAGUGGCUUAGCGAAAGCGAUAAGUAAUCCACCUGGGGAGUACGCCGGCAACGGUG
rnacentral:rRNA from 1 species